UUUAAGGAAGAAUUGCCCAAGACGUCGACGGGGAAGAUUCAGAAGUUUGCUCUUAGAGAUAUGGCGAAGGCGCUGGGUCCUUCGUCAUCUUCCUCACGGCUGAGUCGGAUGUAAGCUCCCUUGUACUCACUAUCUGCAUGGUCAACAUCGGAUUGCCGUAAUUAUGAAAUAGUAGUGUAAAGACUUAUUCUUAGUGCCUCGACUGCAUUAUUACAAUAUAUUAAAAAUUAAGUUCGUUGGUGGAUUGAGUUGAGGCUUAUAGGGAUUUCGAGUGCGUUAUUAAUGGAAUAAUUCUAGAUAUUAUAUUAAAAAUAAAAAUUACACAAAAAAAAUUACCCUUCAAAAUCAACAAGAAAUAUAUAGAUGGAGAAUCUCUAGCGCCUUUAGUGUAUAAGUUAAAGGAGAUUUUAGCGUCAAAGAAAGUCGGUGUUU
rnacentral:lncRNA from 1 species